GCUUGGUGCUACCUCUUUUCUUUUGUUUGUUAUUUUCUUUGAAUAAGAGGAUUGACAGUUUCUAAAUAUUAUGAAAUGAAUUAUAGAAUGAAAAUGUGAUUGGUAUUAUUUGAAAAGAAAAAAGAUUGAAUGCUGAAAUCUGAUUGUAGUUCAGCAAAGAAAAUGAGUCUGUGUUUGUCUGAAAUACUGUAAUGUGAAUGGCAGUUGUGUGUGAAGAAUUUGAGUGAUUGGAACGAGGAUAAUUGUGUGCUGAAAGUUGUGAGGGCAUAAUAUUACAGUUGGAGAUUAUGAUGAUGAAUAUAUUGGUAGAAAUAGCAGUUAUUGGUAUGAUUGAAUUGCUGUAAGGAAGAGACCGAUAAGGUGAAGGAGGAGAUUAUAGUUUUCUUGUGUGUUCAGAUAUUGAAAAUAGAGACGAUACAUUCAGGAGGUAAUUGAUUGUGUG
rnacentral:lncRNA from 1 species